ACCUCCAGAAGAAUGACGCCAAUUUUGAAUCACCCUGUAUUUAUGGAGUUUUUUGUUACAAAUUGAGCAUAUGUUGAUACACAUUUAUCGUGUUUGAUUCUUUAUGGUGAAGUAUUGUAGAUAGGUCGAAAAAAAAUGGAGUCCAGACGAAUUAGAAAAAUUGUUGCCAUAGGUGGUGAGAUAAUUACAAGAUAAGCAGAAUAAGAUCUACAAUAGAACAUUAACGUGAACAGAAGUCACGUAAUUGAUGACAAUUUUGACAGCGAUUCAGACCAGGAGCCAGAAGUUACUGAAAGUAACGUUUAUAGUAGUGAUUCCGAACAAUAAGCAGAUGAAGGAGAAGCAGAAUUUGAACCACGGGAACAGACAAAGAUUAUCAAUUUUUUAUUGGAAAAAACAGUGAUAUGUACUUCAGAUUUUUAUUUUUAGAUUUUUUACAUAUACAUUUAAUUUUGUUAGCAUUUUUUCAAGUAUUAUUUGUAGAAUUGCAUCUAUUUUUGGUUACUUGCUUUAAUUUCACUUAUUAAAUACAUUUUAAAGUAGUAAA